ensembl:snoRNA
UAUUUAUACCAAUUAUGAAGUAUGUGUUGGUAAGGUCAUCUGAGAAAUGAAAUGAAUGUCAGCAACUCUAAAGGUGACAA